AUUGAACGCUGGCGGCAGGCUUAACACAUGCAAGUCGAGCGGGGUGAUGGUGCUUGCACUAUCACUUAGCGGCGGACGGGUGAGUAAUGCUUAGGAAUCUGCCUAUUAGUGGGGGACAACAUCUCGAAAGGGAUGCUAAUACCGCAUACGUCCUACGGGGGAAAGCAGGGGAUCACUUGUGACCUUGCGCUAAUAGAUGAGCCUAAGUCGGAUUAGCUAGUUGGUGGGGUAAAGGCAUACCAAGGCGACGAUCUGUAGCGGGUCUGAGAGGAUGAUCCGCCACACUGGGACUGAGACACGGCCCAGACUCCGACGGGAGGCAGCAGUGGGGAAUAUUGGACAAUGGGGGGAACCCUGAUCCAGCCAUGCCGCGUGUGUGAAGAAGGCCUUAUGGUUGUAAAGCACUUUAAGCGAGGAGGAGGCUCUUUUGGUUAAUACCCAGAAUGAGUGGACGUUACUCGCAGAAUAAGCACCGGCUAACUCUGUGCCAGCCGCCGCGGUAA
rnacentral:rRNA from 1 species